UACGGGGGGGGCAAGCGUUGUUCGGAAUUACUGGGCGUAAAGGGCUUGUAGGUGGCCAACUAAGUCAGACGUGAAAUCCCUCAGCUUAACUGGGGAACUGCGUCUGAUACUGGAUGGCUUGGAUUCGGGAGAGGAAUGCGGAAUUCCAGGUGUAGCGGUGAAAUGCGUAGAUAUCUGGAGGAACACCGGUGGCGAAGGCGGCAUUCUGGACCGAUAUUGACGCUGAGGAGCGAAAGCCAGGGGAGCAAACGGG
rnacentral:rRNA from 1 species